rnacentral:rRNA from 1 species
AAAACUAGCCAGUCUUUUGGGUAUGAAACCCAUUUGGGCGAGAGUAAUACUAGGAUGGGUGACCUCCUGGGAAGUCCUCGUGAAAGGGUUUC